AUGGGUGGGAGGAGCCUGACUCCUGUGCUGUGGAGGCCCCGGAAGAAUGUGUAUCAGGAGAAGCCUCCACCUGAGGACGCCUCACCCGCCCACAGGCAGCUUCCUGCUCCCAGCUCGGCGUCAUAGGGCCGCGCCGUCACAUGACGCCCGUAGUGCUCCAGGAACAUGUGACCGCGCGGCCCCAGGAAGAGACGCGUCGCCAUGGAGACUUCAGCGCCUGCGCAGUCCGGACUCAGCGUCCAUAGAGACUGGAAAGCGGCGAUACCACUAACAGCCAUAAUACACGGAUCCCAAAGACAGAAAUGAAACAUGGACAAUCAAUUACACAGUAUCCUGUGGAUUAUGUUGGAUUCAGUGAACUACAGUACGUCGAUGACCAGCAUUUUUUGUUUCCGCUAAAGAGGGCUUUAAGAGAAUUUUUUUUAAAUAAAACAUUUUUUUGACUGUCGUAUUUUUUAAGUAAUUUUCAGGCUUAGUACUGGAUACUGUCUCAGACAAAGUCAAUUACUAAACCAGGGCUUAGUCCCACCCUGGUAACAACAGUCUGUUGUUGCUUUGUUGGUAUGUAAAUGAAAAUAGGGAGGACCACAAAUGUAUUUUUCAAAAAUAAAUAAAUGAAUAAAAAACCAUGUGUAGAUAUCAAUCAAGCAGCAACAGCGCUUGGUGGUCAAUGAACAUUGUUACUUUCUUCAGUCUAAAUAAAGCCAACCUGUUACAUCCUUUGCCCAGGAUGACCAUUUUUGACGCUUUGUGCCUGUUGGCACCUGCUCUUACUGGUAUCCCUGUUGGGUACUGGGGUAAUAUACUUUAUUGGAAUUUUAAUUGGACAAUGUUUUUUAUAAUAUAUAUAUAUAUAUUUUUAGAAUUGUCAACUAAAGUGCCACAUAAACUGGUAUAAAUGAGUCAGCUGUAAUAAAACAUUGUGUUUUCUGAACUAAAAAAAAUAUAUAAAAAAAUUGGGGGUGAUUUUUCCACAGUGCUGCGAGAAAUUAUUUUAAUGAUUUUUUUAUUUUUUUGUGUGUGCAUUUGUCACAAAUGUUUUAGAUCAAGCACCUUUAAUUUUACCGAAAGAUAAUCAAAGUAAAUACGAAAUGCAGUAUUCAAGCAAUCAC